AUGUUUCAUAGAAAUUGUUUGUUACGUCAGAAUUAGAAGAAACUAAUUCUGUGUGGAGAAACAAAAUAUCUCUCAUUUCCGACGCGAAUAGAUUUUUUUUGAAUUUCAAAAUAAAGGUUCUUGUCUUGUGGGGAACGAUGGACAAAUUUUUGGAAUCCGGUACCAACAGGUAUAAUCCCCCCAGAACUACGUUUUCUUUCAGGCCUUUCAACCAAUCAAUACGACCUCGUAGGGCAGCUUUUGCUAAAACUCGAGCAGUUUCUUGAAAACUUGCUUCAGAUAUGAAACUUUGGGUAUUCAGGGAAGCCCUUGUUAUUCCCAAUAAGAUUGCCCGAUAAUAGAUCGAUUCAUCUAAAGCCCGCCCUGCUCGUUCCGCUCGCAAUAGUCCUAUUAAUUCCCCAGGUAAAAAAACAUUAGACAUUCCAUCUUCGGAAACCCUUACUUUUGAUGUUACUUGGCGUAUAAUAAUCUCUAUAUGUCUAUUAUGGAUCUGUACCCCUUGGGAUCGAUAAACCUUUUGUAUCUUAUUAACCAAAGAGAUACGACUUUGGGCUAUGGUUAGCUCAGCUCCAAUCAAGAAUCCCCAGGGAACCCCAAGAAUUCUUGGUAUACGUUCGUUCCAAUCCUCAAUUCUCCUUUCGAUAUUCGGCGAUAGUGAAUCAAUUGAACGCGCUUAGAAGAUUUGUUCUACUUUUGGAAGACCUUGCGUUAUAUCACUAGAUCUCGAUUUUUCAUAUAUAAACGUAACUAACCUAUCUCCUUUGUAAAGGAUUUUUCCAUAAUGACCAUGAACAGUUGCUCCUAUAGUGGCCAAAUAAGGCUUAGCUGCUCUUAGAACAAAGGAGUCCAUAUUAACAAUGAAAAUUUGACCUGAUUUUUUUAUGUGCGAUUUAAAUAGACAUACAUUUUCACAAAUAAAUUGUCCAAGGUGAAUUAUUGCCGAUGUCUCUUCCCACGAGUCAUGAUGGAGAAAGUGCCAAUUCAAAUGGAAUGGCUCUAACAUGAUGUUACUGUCGAAAUUCGAAAUCCUUUUAUUUUCGUCUAUUAAAGAGUAUUUAAGUCCUUGAAGUACUUGGAAGGUUUGUUUCAAAUUUUCAAGGAACAAGUAUUUUUUUAACAAGAUCUGAUUAUGUGUUCAUAAAUAGUAAGAUGAAGAAAAAUUUGAUAUACUAGGUACAAUAGCGCCUAAGAGCCCAAAAAUAUCUUGAAUAGGAAUUCUAGGAUUGGAUUCUUUUACCGCAUUGGGAUACUUUGAAUUCUUGAAUAAACCAAUUCGAGAACAGUUGGAUGCCGACAAAAUCAUCAAAGAUGGAUUACUUCGAUUCAACAAGGUGCCAAUAGCUUCUUGAUGUUGGCUAAGUGAUUGAAUCUUCGCCUUGGAAUAAAAGGAAUUGGUAUUGUUGCGAUCUAACCUAUUAUUGGGAAUCAGUCCUACACUUGUCCUAUCAUACCUUCUUCGUGUAUACGAAGUAGUAGACUUAACUAACUCAAUUCUUAGGAAAUCGCGAAUCAGAUCAUUUGUUCUUACCUCAACAAGAGAAGCAUGAGCCCCCUCUUUUUCUUCUUGUUCCCAAUUCACUACUAAGCAAGUUCGAAUGAAUUGACUAUUCGUGUGAUAAAUUCUUUGAGUUAACUUGCUAUUUUCAUGAGAAAUAAAAUUGACAAGUCGAAGUUGGAGAUUAUCCUCUUCUUGCAAGAGAUCCUGCGGGAAAAGUGUUGCUAAAUUUCUCCCUUCGUCCAUUUGAUAUGCGACUGCAGGUCGAACCGAAACAAAAUACUUUUCCUUGCUUUUGAGAAUUUUUUUCAUUGAACAUAAACCCAAUUUUUCCUUUUUUUUGAUUCCUUAGGAUCUUUUUUUCUCUUUCUGGUGGUAUCAAACUACCACCUAAUAUCUUAUCCGCCUCUUCAGGAAAAUGAAUAUCUCCGGAAAAGAUUUUGAGUUCUGUAUGGCUUUUUUUUCUCUUCACUCGGACCAAUCCACCUAGUCGACUUCUUGUAUUUUUUGUGAGUUGUGUAUCGACUCCAAUAAUACUAUUAUCAAGUACCUUUAGAGAUGAGGAUCUCGGCAAGAGAUGCAGUUCUUGAAGAAUGAAAAAAAACCGAUCUACUUCUUUUUGGUAUUUUAGACUAAAUUCUUUUGUUCCUCGAUGCUCAAUAAAACCCUCUUUUUUUAAGAUGGAAUCUUCCUCCGGGCUCCCAUAUUCGUCUUCUGAGUCUUCCUCUGAGUCUUCUUCUAAAGUCCCAUAUUCCUUUUCUGAGCCAUCUUCAAAGCUCCCAUAUUCUUCUUCUGAGUCUUCCUCUAGAGCCCUAUAUUUGUCUUCUAGGAUUUCAUAUUCGCCCUCUCCUUCUCGGGUCCUAUGUUCAUUCUCUGGGCUACCGUAUUCUUCCUCUGAGUCUUUCUCUAGAGUCCUAUAUUUGUCCUCUAGGAUCCCAUAUUCAUCUUCUAGGGUUUCAUAUUCGUCCUCUAGAGUCCUAUAUUCGUCUUCUAGGAUUUCAUAUU
rnacentral:lncRNA from 1 species